CUCCGAGUUCAUGCACAAGCGCAAGCAGCAUCGAGAUCACUUUAUUUAACGCUUUUACAUCCUUUUAUACCCAUCCCAAAACAAAGCCUCUACUUUUCUCUUAUCACCUAGCUACUUGGCAAGCACUGAGUCCAAGCCUUAUAUGAAAACAAAGUUCAUCUUGCAAGGUUCAUUAGUCGCAGCAUUGACUUUGUUUUUCACUUAGCUCUUGUUCAGUUAUCCCAUGGCUUGCGACCAACAAGGCCAGGGAUAUCUCUGGUGUCUGGCUCAGCCGCCACACCUGCAGAUUCUGUACUUGUUCCCACAAAAAGGCUGGUGUCUUCC